rnacentral:lncRNA from 1 species
AAUUGUAGUUAGAAUUUUGGAAAUGGAGUCAGAAACACUUCGAAAUGCGUGUCCCCUCAUGACUUCCCUCCACACCUUGCCUCAUAUUUUAAUCCCUUUUUCUCUCUACAUAUUUUCCUGCCUUUUUCUCCCCUCACAUUUCCCACGUUUUUUCCCCUCACACUUUCUGCAUUUUUCCUCUCCUCACACUUUCCUGCCUUUUUUCCCCUCAUUUUCCUCCCUUUUUCCCCCCUCACACUUUCCCGCCUUCUUCUUCCCUCACAAUUCCCAUCUUCUUCCUCUCCUCACAUUUUCUUCCCUUUUUCUCCCCUCACACUUUCCCACCUUAUUUCCCCUCACCUCACACUUUCUGCAUUUUUCCUCUCCUCACACUUUCUGCAUUUUUCCUCUCCUCACAUUUUUCUCCCCUCACAAUUUCCUGCUAUUUUUCCCCUCACAAUUUCCUUUUUUUUUUUUCCCCUCACACUUUCCCGUUUUUUUUUCCCCUCAGAACUUCCUGCCUUUUUUUUCCCCCUCACACUUUCCCGCCUUUUUUUUCCCCUCACAAUUUCCUAAUUUUUUUUUCCCCUCACAAAUUCCCGCCUUUUUUUCCCCUCAGAAUUUCCCUUUUUCCCCUCACACUUUCCCGCCUUUUUUUCCCCUCAGAAUUUCCCGCCUUUUUCCCCCUCACACUUUCCUGCUUUUUUCCUCUCCUCACAUUUUUCUCCCUUUUUCUCCCCUCACACUUUCUGCAUUCUUCCUCUCCUCACAAUUCCCCACUUUUCCUCUCCUCACAUUUUUCUCCCCUCACAAUUUCCUGCUAUUUUUCAUUUUUCCCCUCACAAUUUCCUAAUUUUUUUUUCCCCUCACAAAUUCCCGCCUUUUUUCCCCUCAGAAUUUCCCGCCUUUUUCCUCCCUUCACAAAUUCCCGCCUUUUUUUCCCCUCACACUUUCCCGCCUUUUUCCUCCCCUCACUUUCCUGCUUUUUUCAUCUCCUCACAUUUUUCUCCCUUUUUCUCCUCUCACAUUUCCCCACUUUUCCCCUCACACUUUCCACAUUUUUCUCCCCUCACAAUUUCCUGCUAUUUUUCCCCUCACAAAUUCCCGCCUUUUUUUUCCCCCUCACAAAUUCCCACCUUUUUUCCCCCUCACACUUUCCUGCUUUUUUUUCUCCCCUCACAUUUUCCUCCCUUUUUCUUCCCUCACAAUUCCCCACAAUUCCAGGUUUUUGAGGAUUUUGGGGUACUUUGAGGUACCUGCAUCCAGCGUUUUGAGGAUUUUGGGGGAGUUUUGAUGAUUUUGGGAGGUUUUGAUGAUUCCGGGGUACCUGCACCCAGGUUUUUGAGGAUUUUGGGUGGUUUUGAUGAUUUUUUGAGGUUCUGAUGAUUUCAGGGUACCUGCCCCCAGGUUUUCGAGGAUUUUGGGGUACUUGGGGUACUUGCGUCCAGCGUUUUGAGGAUUUGGGGGGGGGUUUGAUGGUUUUGGGGGGGUUUUGAGGAUUUUGGGGUACUUUGGGGUACCUGCACCCGUGUUUUUGAUGAUUCUGGGGUACCUGGCCCCAGGUUUUUAAGAUUUUUGGGGUACUUUGGGGUACCUGCCUCCAGGAUUUUGAUGAUUCUGUGGUACCUGCCCCCAGGUUUUCGAGGAUUUCGGGAGGUUUUGAUGAUUUUGGGGUACCUGUCUCCAGGUUUUGAUGAUUGUGUGCUACCUGCCCCAGGUUUUUGAUGAUUUUGGGGAACUUGGGGUACCUGCCCCCAGGUUUUCGAGGAUUUUGGGAUACCUGCCCCCAGGUUUUUGAUGAUUUUGGGGUACCU